UGGUGAAAAGAUGGAAUGAGCGAUGGAGUU
rnacentral:piRNA from 1 species